UCUACGGGAGGCAGCAGUAGGGAAUCUUUCACAAUGGGCGAAAGCCUGAUGGAGCAACGCCGCGUGCAGGAUGACUGCCUUCGGGUUGUAAACUGCUUUUAUAAGCGAGAAAUAUGAUGGUAACUUAUGAAUAUGGAUCGGCUAACUACGUGACAGCAGCCGCGGUCAUACGUAGGAGCCGAGCAUUAUCCGGAGUGACUGGGUGUAAAGAGUUGCGUAGGUGGCAUAAUAAGUAGCUAGUGAAAUCUGGUGGCUCAACCAUUCAGACUAUUAGCUAAACUGUUAAGCUCGAGUGCGCUAGGGGUAAGCGGAAUUUGUGGUGUAGGAGUGAAAUCCGUAGAUAUUA
rnacentral:rRNA from 1 species